AUGGAAGCUUCUCAAGGGUCAGCAGCAGUGGCCUCCGUUCCCUGCGGGUCACAAUUCACGUGGGUCUUACCUCCCUGCAGGUUAAGCUCCCUGCUCUGUAGGCACGUGGCCGGGGCGGGGGCGUCUGGGGCUGUGUGACUGGCAGGCCCAGGCUUCCGGGCCAGCUCUAUGGUCGCCGCUGAGCGACCGUCCGAGGCCAGCACGUUUCCUAAGACAAUCUCCUUACCUGGACCGGCGGGUCUCCACAAGAAAGUAAGGAGAGGCUGCGAGGCCGCUGGCAGCCUUUCUUCCCCGUUUGCAGUGUCACAACAAUGAUUCACCCCACGAAUUAGCCUGGAGACUCUCCGGACACACAAGGUUAUAUAGAAAACAGCUUUUACUUUUACUCAAACACACAAUUCCCACUCGCGGCGCCCUCCCUCCGGCCCGUGGCCGGCUUGGCGAGGCGGGUGAUGAGCAUCCCAAGCCUAGCGCCGUCGGGCAGCGGAGCCCUCAGGUGACCUCUGAAGACUAGGGUGCAGUCGGGGCCGCUGGGGCGCGGAGCGGGGGCACCUCGUCCACGGGACCGUCGGGGUCGCCUGGGGGAGGCGGGGAAGAGGGGGUACGCCAGGCCCUGAGCUCCGACAGCGCCCCCGCGCGGGCCGGCUUAGGCGGGGUCUCCGUGGGCUGGUGAGGGGGCUCCCCGCCGGCAGCCGGGCCCGCGGGCGCCACCCCCACGAGCUCGCGGCCCAGCGCGGCCGGGCGGCGGGAGCGGCGCGCCGCGGGGGAGGUGCGCGCGGCGGGAGAGCGAGCGGAGCGAGAAGAGGGGAGCGGCGUCCGCCCCCGCCGUGCCGAGAGCCGCAGAGCCGAGCCGGCGCGCCCGGGCCGGGGAGCGCGCCCGAGGCCCGGCGAGCGGCAGCGCCGGCGCCGGAGGGUCGUGCCCGCGCCCGCGCCCGCGCCCGGGUCUCGGGCCCCGACCGGCGGCGGCGGCGAGGCCGGGCGGCCACCUGCUGCGCCGCGUGAGGGCCGCGCGUCCGCGCUCCCGGGGCCCCGCCGCCCCCACCCCGCGGACCCAGAGCCUCCGGCGCUUCGCGGAGCCGCCCGCGCUCCCGUGCAGGUACCGGGGCUGGGACUGGGGCGGGGGUUUCGGAGCCGGGGACCCCCUCAGCCACGCGGACGGAGCGCCCUCCCCGCGGCCGAGUCCGGCCGGACGCGCUCCCCCAAGUGCCCGAAGUUUCCCUUUGCUGACUUCGCCGGACUUAACUUUGAAUCGUGAGGUGACGCCUCAGAAAACACACGACGAGGGGAGUCGGUGUGUCCGGGGGAAGUUGUUGGUGGACGAAGUGUCGGUGCCUCCUGGCGCCAGAGGCCGCGGCAGGGGAGAGGAGUGGACGGUCGUUAACUCUUCUGCUUCAGCCAUCCAGACUGCCACAGAGAGGGAUCCUGGAGUGCUGACAGGCUCUUCUGACUUCACAGUCUUGCCAGGCCAAGGGCCUACCCGCUCUUGUUUGAAGCCUCGUCUGAUUUCCUGA
ensembl:lncRNA